rnacentral:rRNA from 1 species
UACGUAGGGGGCAAGCGUUGUCCGGAAUCACUGGGCGUAAAGCGCGCGCAGGCGGUCAUCUACGUCUGGGGUGAAAGCCCGGAGCUCAACUCCGGGAUUGCCUUGGAUACGGGAUGACUUGAGGAUCGGAGAGGCAAGGGGAAUUCCACGUGUAGCGGUGAAAUGCGUAGAGAUGUGGAGGAACACCAGUGGCGAAGGCGACUCUUUGGCCUGUAACUGACGCUGAGACGCGAAAGCGUGGGGAGCAAACAGG